GAUGAACGCUAGCGGCAGGCCUAAUACAUGCAAGCCGAACGGCAAGUUUGAUAGCAAUAUUGGACCUAGAGUUGCGCAAUGGUGCGUAACACGUAUGCAACCUGCCCGCGACAGGAGGAUAGCUCCCCGAAAGGGGAAUUAACCCUCCAUAACACCAUGAGAAUUCAUCUGAUUAUGGUUAAACUGCACGGGGUCGCGGAUGGGCAUGCGGUUGAUUCGCUAGUUGGCGGGGUAAAGGCCCACCAAGGCGGUGAUCAAUAGGGGUUCUGAGAGGAAGGUCCCCAACACUGGCACUGAGAUACGGGACAGACUCCUACGGGAGGCAGCAGUAGGGAAUAGUGGACAAUGGUUGCAAGACUGAUCCAGCCAUGCCGCGUGCAGGAAGAAGGCCUUCUGGGUCGUAAACUGCUUUUUCCUGUGGAUAAAAUACCCGUGCGCGGGGAAUUGAAGGUAACAGGGGAAUAAGCCACGGCUAACUACGUG
rnacentral:rRNA from 1 species